CACGAUGCAUUGUGGUACCUAUAGUCUGGUGCCGCCGGCAGCGCCAUGUCCCGGCGGACAUUAGCCGUGGGUGUUAAUUAGACCAAAAAGUGUCUUCUCUAAUGCUGACACGGUUGCCCCCGAGUUACUCUGGUUUUGGGGUCUUUUUUGUCUUAAACCUGUGGUGAGAUCCUGGUUCAGAACAGCAAGAAUCGACUGAAUUGCAAAAUUCCGGUUAUCUCCAGCCCAUCCUUGCCAGUGUGCCCUCAGAAGGGAAUGUCCUGCAGUGUUUCCAGAAAGAGUUACUGAGUGUACCAUGAGUCAUCCUGCUAACCGCGUGGGUUUGCAGACUACAAAAGCAUAACACUUGAAGGCUCUGAUUUGCCUCCCGGAUAGGAACCAGGAGAGUCUCAAAGCUGAAUGAACAGAAUGGAAAAGGACAAGAAGCUUCUCAGAGACCAGCUAGUCUUCCCUGAAGAGGAUCAGCGUGGCAGCCAUUUGGUGUGCAGCAGCUGAAGGCAAGGAAGCAGAAAAAGCUGCACUGUCCUGAGUCAAGAGAGUUCACCAGUGUCCUGGCAAAAUGAACUGAAUCCCACAUUCUUGGUUCCUGAGGCAGAGGAGCAGAAGUAUU